AAAUCGCCAAAUAAGUUGAAAUUUUAUUUUUAAUGCUUUAAACACUUUAUUUACAUAAAUUUGUAGUAAAUUCAUUAUAAUUGGAUUGGAGUGGAGUAUGAAAAUAUAUAUCGAAUUUGCAAUAAUGGACCAUACUGAAAUUCGAAUUUUAUGGCAGCAUUGGUGUAGUUACAUUUCAGUGGUUGUCAUGUCGCAUUUCCUUCUUUUGACAUUACUGCGUCAACGUGAUUCGAUCUUUUUCCGCUUUCAACUCUGAAGAUGGCGGUCGGUAAAAAUAAGGGUCUCUCUAAAGGAGGUAAAAAAGGUGGUAAGAAGAAGGUAGUAGAUCCCUUCUCACGCAAAGAUUGGUACGAUGUAAAAGCACCAAAUAUGUUCGUGACCCGCCAGAUAGGCAAAACUCUGGUUAACCGUACCCAGGGUCAGAGAAUCGCCUCUGACUACUUGAAGGGCCGUGUGUUCGAGGUAUCAUUGGCUGAUUUGCAAAACGACAACGAUUCGGAUCGUUCCUUCCGUAAGUUCCGUCUGAUUGCUGAGGAUGUUCAGGAUCGCAAUGUGCUCUGCAAUUUUCACGGUAUGGAUUUGACUACAGACAAGUACAGGUCAAUGGUAAAAAAAUGGCAGACACUUAUUGAAGCCAUUGUCGAGGCUAAGACCACUGAUGGUUACAUGCUACGCGUUUUCUGUAUUGGCUUUACUGCUAAGGAUCAACAAUCACAGCGCAAAACUUGUUACGCUCAACAAUCUCAAGUUCGUAAUAUUCGCUCAAAGAUGACUGAAAUCAUUACCAACGAUGUAACCAGCUCUGACCUGAAGCAAUUGGUGAACAAGCUAGCACUCGACUCCAUUGCUAAGGACAUUGAGAAGAAGUGCCAACGCAUUUAUCCUCUGCAUGAUGUUUACAUUCGUAAAGUAAAGGUUUUGAAGAAGCCGCGUUUCGAUCUGUCCAAAUUGUUAGAAUUACACGGUGAUGGCGGUGGCAAAGGUACUGACGCUGUUGUUUCUUCGGAAGGUGCUGUCGUCGAAAGGCCCGAAGGUUAUGAACCUCCAGUACAGGAGUCUGUUUAAUAUAAUAAUUAAUUAAACAACAUUCAUUUUAUAAUGUAGAAGAUACAAAGGAAAGAAAAGCCAAAACUCGCACAUAGGAGUUUUGUCAAAAAAACUUAAUACUGAGUUUGUUUUAAUUUCUUUAAAGUGGAUAAUAUAAGGGAAGUCGUUUCGUUUUUGUUUUUUUUCUUUGCAGAUUUUAUUUUUGAAGUUCUCAUUUCAAAAUGGAAGCAUUGUGUGCAGUUUACUAAUAUUACGAAGGUAAAUAAGUAAGUGUUUUACAUAUUAAAGUGUGUGAAAUAAGAUAAUGAUGUUAAUAUUUUUCGUCGCUGACUAUAAAUUUAUGAUGUCAAUGUUAAACUGAUUUUCCACAAAUUAUAAAAAACUUUAUUUCAAUGAACAAUUAUUAAUAUCACAUAAUCUCUUUGCAGUGGUUUGAUAUUAUGCAUGGUGGAGCGGCCCAAAUAUCUACGAUGAUUUGGGUAUUCAUUGCACUUAUUAGUGGACUAUAUAUGGUAUAAAGCUUUCUGUAUUAGGAAUUCACCUUGUAACUCAUGUGGAUUCUUUUGUUUGUUGUGACUUUGAAAGGCGAUAAUAUACUAAUCUGCAGAAAUUGAACUUUUCCAGAUAACAUAUAUUGAAAACGUGCAAAGAGAAAUUGAAUCCGUUUUCGAAAUAUUCAGGGCUAUAUAAUAUAUACAUCUGACAUGUUGCCUCAACAUAAUUAAAACUUGUUUUUGAAGCCACAUAAAUUAAAAAGAGCUCGAUUGUUCUAAAAAGAUGAGGAAGGAUUAAACUUUUUGAUAAAAAACAGGUAGUGCAGCUGUUUAUAGGGCACUGUCAUAAAUCAAUACAAUCUGGGCACUCACCUGGACCCUGUUUUAAAAUGAGUCGGCGCGUACAUACUCCAUCGGCUUGUUUAGAUAUGAAGAUGGGGCAAACGGAUUAAAUUGAAAAUAUGAACUUGCUGUUGACUAUUCAUUAAUAAGGUAUGUUACACGUCAACCCUGCGCAGCACUAGAUCAACUCUUUGAAAUUUGUUAUUUUUUGACAAUAUGUCAUUAAAAUAUAUAAUAUUAAAAUAAAUUAAAAUAAAACUUAAA